rnacentral:rRNA from 1 species
UUGCGGGGCUCAACCCCGUACAGCCGUUGAAACUGCCGGGCUCGAGUGGGCGAGAAGUAUGCGGAAUGCGUGGUGUAGCGGUGAAAUGCAUAGAUAUCACGCAGAACCCCGAUUGCGAAGGCAGCAUACCGGCGCCCUACUGACGCUGAGGCACGAAAGUGCGGGGAUCAAACAGGAUUAGAUACCCUGGUAGUCCGCACAGUAAACGAUGAAUGCUAGCUGUCCGGGGGGAUUGACCCCUGGGUGGCACAGCGAAAGCGUUAAGCAUUCCACCUGGGGAGUACGCCGGCAACGGUGAAACUCAAAGGAAUUGACGGGGGCCCGCACAAGCGGAGGAACAUGUGGUUUAAUUCGAUGAUACGCGAGGAACCUUACCCGGGCUCAAACGCCGAAGGAACAUUCCCCGAAAGGGGAAUGGCCAGCAAUGGUCUUCGGCGAGGUGCUGCAUGGUUGUCGUCAGCUCGUGCCGUGAGGUGUCGGCUUAAGUGCCAUAACGAGCGCAACCCCCAUCGCCAGUUACCAGCAAGUCAAGUUGGGGACUCUGGCGAGACUGCCGGCGCAAGCUGUGAGGAAGGCGGGGAUGACGUCAAAUCAGCACGGCCCUUACGUCCGGGGCGACACACGUGUUACAAUGGCAGGUACAGAGAGAAGCAAUGCGGCGACGCAAAGCGGAACUUGAAAGCCUGUCUCAGUUCGGAUUGGAGUCUGCAACUCGACUCCAUGAAGCUGGAUUCGCUAGUAAUCGCGCAUCAGCCAUGGCGCGGUGAAUACGUUCCCGGGCCUUGUACACACCGCCCGUCAAGCCAUGGAAGCCGGGGGUGCCUGAAGUGCGCUGCCGCGAGGAGCGCCCUAGGGUAAAACCGGUGACUGGGGCUAAGUCGUAACAAGGUAACCGUAA